CUACGGGUUGCUGCAGUGAGGAAUAUUGCACAAUGGGGGAAACCCUGAUGCAGCAACGCCGCGUGGAGGAUGACGCAUUUCGGUGUGUAAACUCCUUUUAUGAGUCAAGAAAAUGACGGUAGCUCAUGAAUAAGCACCGGCUAACUCCAUGCCAGCAGCCGCGGUAAUACGGAGGGUGCAAGCGUUACUCGGAAUCACUGGGCGUAAAGGACGCGUAGGCGGGCUUGUAAGUCAGGUGUGAAAUCCUACAGCUUAACUGUAGAACUGCACUUGAAACUACGAGCCUAGAGUAUGGGAGGGGCAGAUGGAAUUAGUGGUGUAGGGGUAAAAUCCGUAGAUAUCACUAGGAAUACCGAAAGCGAAGGCGAUCUGCUGGAACAUUACUGACGCUAAGGCGUGAAAGCGUGGGGAGCAAACGGGAUUAGAUACCCGCGUAGUC
rnacentral:rRNA from 1 species